GAAAUGCGAUAAGUCAUGUGAAUUGCAGAAUUCAGUGGAUCAUCGAAUCUUUGAACGCACCUUGCGCCUCUCCGUAUUCCGAAAGGCCUGCCUGUUUGACUGUCAUGAAAUCUCAAUCCCCCCGGGUUUUCUGAACCCGAGGUGGACUUGGACAUGGGUGUCUGCCGUCUCGUACGGCUCGCCUUAAAUGACUCAGUGGGAUCUUCAGCAUCCGUGGCAGACGUAAUAAGUUUCGUCUCGUCCCUUGCUGUGAGGACCGCUCAUAAGCUGCCAUCGCUCACCACUUUUGACUCUUACCUCAAAUCAGGUAGGACUACCCGCUGAACUUAA
rnacentral:misc_RNA from 1 species